rnacentral:rRNA from 1 species
AGAGUUUGAUCCUGGCUCAGAUUGAACGCUGGCGGCAUGCCUUACACAUGCAAGUCGAACGGUAACAGCACUUCGGUGGCUGACGAGUGGCGAACGGGUGAGUAAUACAUCGGAACGUGCCCGAUCGUGGGGGAUAACGGAGCGAAAGCUUUGCUAAUACCGCAUACGAUCUACGGAUGAAAGCAGGGGACCCUCGGGCC